rnacentral:rRNA from 1 species
UACGAAGGGGGCUAGCGUUGUUCGGAAUUACUGGGCGUAGAGCGCACGUAGGCGGGUCGUUAAGUCAGGGGUGAAAUCCCGGAGCUCAACUCCGGAACUGCCUUUGAUACUGGCGAUCUAGAGAUCGAGAGAGGUGAGUGGAAUUCCGAGUGUAGAGGUGAAAUUCGUAGAUAUUCGGAAGAACACCAGUGGCGAAGGCGGCUCACUGGCUCGAUACUGACGCUGAGGUGCGAAAGCGUGGGGAGCAAACAGG